rnacentral:tRNA from 1 species
GAGUCCCGAAUGACGA